AUGAUCCUAAUAUUAUCAUGGGUUUAGCAGAGUUGUUUAACUUGCAAACUGGAUUGAAGAUUUUGAAUAAAUUUUUGUGUUCUUAAUAUGGUCACAAGUUUGUACUUGUUUAAAACCCUCAAUCAUUUGAAAAUUAUGGCGCCGACAUGGUAGAUGUCCUAGAAAAAACUGGUAGUAACUCAAUGUAGAUACACAUAGUCGAUGGAGUUACUUGCUAAUAACUGGCAAUGAGACAUAUUUGCUUCAAAUGAUGCCUUUAAAGUUUGAAAAGAUUUUUUCUAAUUCAAAUGUCGACUUUUUGUUACAUGAAAAAAGAUACUUAUUUCAAACCCUCGACUAUAUUGAUACACUUAGUAUGUGGAGUUACUUGUCAAUAGCUGGCGAUGAAAUUUUUAAACGCCUUUAAGGGCUGAGAAGGUAAAAAUUAGAAGUCUGCAGACUGCAACGUAAAUCGAUUUCAACACGUUAUGGCUUCUUGAAUAUAUUUAGUUUCCGAUUGAAAGGAGAAUAAACUGAACUUAUAUAUAAAGUGUUUACAAUUAACUUUUUAAACUAGAAAUACUCCAAAGGAGGUUCUCCAAACGCAAGUUAAGCAAAGUCGAUUAAUGUUAAUAUCUUUUAA
rnacentral:lncRNA from 1 species